GACGAACGCUGGCGGCGUGCCUAAUACAUGCAAGCGAGCGAAUCUUGAGGUGCUUGCACCUCUUGGUUAGCGGCGGACGGGUGAGUAACACGUGGGCAACCUGCCUGUAAGACUGGGAUAACACCGGGAAACCGGUGCUAAUACCAGAUAAUCCUUUUCCUCUCAUGAGGAAAAGCUGAAAGUCGGUUUCGGCUGACACUUACAGAUGGGCCCGCGGCGCAUUAGCUAGUUGGUGAGGUAACGGCUCACCAAGGCGACGAUGCGUAGCCGACCUGAGAGGGUGAUCGGCCACACUGGGACUGAGACACGGCCCAGACUCCUACGGGGAGGCAGCAGUAGGGAAUCUUCCGCAAUGGACGAAAGUCUGACGGAGCAACGCCGCGUGAGCGAUGAAGGCCUUCGGGUCGUAAAGCUCUGUUGUUAGGGAAGAACAAGUACCGGAGUAACUGCCGGUACCUUGACGGUACCUAACCAGAAAGCCACGGCUAACUACGUG
rnacentral:rRNA from 1 species